UCUGUUUGACUCAUAUCGCGUUUGCGAUAAGUGUGAAAUUAAUAAACAAUGUGUAAUGUGUAUGCAUCAAUUUUUGUUUGAAGUUGGUAAAAAUGCUACAGAAACGUACGCAAUGAUUAAACCUGCUCUUAGGAAUGUUGCAUUAUGUCGUUCAAAUAAAUUCAAAUGGUCUAAUCUUCUCAAGGAUGGUUGGAAAUCAUCUGAAAAUUAUUCACGUUCUAGAACACCAUUAGCAUCCGGAAACAAUAAUGUUACAAAAAUUUGCGAACAAGUACGAAAUUACUGCAGAUUCACAUUUCGUCGUCCCGGUGAAAAACAAAAUUUUUCCCUCGGCUAAAAAACCUAAACAAUUAGAAGGUAUGCUCAAAAAGUUUCACGUGGCAUGCAUUUAAUAUCGGGAAUCGAUUGGUAGAUGGUACUUCGAAUAGAGGUCGCUUUACAACAUUUUCUCAAUAGUUUUCCUAAACGCGAGGAAAAACUAAACUGACAGCCGUCGGACGUUUUUGAAGGAAUGUCUACAACAAGCGAGGAUUUUACCAAGAUCCACUCAAAAUCGUAUUAAGAAUUUAUUGCUCUGGUCAAAAUUAAAAUGCAAAUAAAAUCGAUUUGUGCACAAUAAUAAUAUUGAUAUUAUAAGUACUAAGAAAUGAAGACGAGGAUAAUCUCCGAGUAGUCCCGACCAUCGUGACAACGUAAUAAAAUUAAAAUGUUCAAAUAAAAAUAAUUAGGUACGAGAGAAUAAGUACGCACGACUGUCUACUGUAAUAGGCAAUCGCGUAGGUAGCUACAUCCGCGCAUCAAUCUUGUGUCUACUCACUGAAGAACAUGAAAACUGUUUAAAACGGCGAUUACGGUGAAAUUUAGAAGAAAGAAAAAAAAUUUUUUGUAUGGGUACUAUAAAGAAUGAAAAACGAAAACGUUAAGCCAUAUAGACAAGACCACUUUCUUCUCAAUCAAUAUAUACAAGGUAAUUCAUAGAGCAUUCUCGAUCGCAUCUUUUACACGCAUAGUGAAUUUAUUUCAAUUCUGAUUUUUUUUAAUUUUAAGUAUACCUACUUAAAACCAAAAUUCAAAUUUUCAAUUUCUUGAAAUGUUUCGUACUACUUAAAAAGUAUUUCACAGUGCCCCGUGGUAUCACAAAUUUAUGUUUUUCAAAUGAGAACCCCCGAUUUUUCUAUAAAUUAUUUGGUGGAUACUGGAUAAUUCUUUUGGACAUUUUGAUCGGUAAUAAUCGAGAAUUAUUUUAUAUUAUUGAUGUUCUUGUACAAAUUAAAUAACAAAAUACUUUUAAACAAAUACUAAGACUACUAUUCUGAAAUCUGGAUCCUAUUAAGUAUUAUUAACACUGCAUUUAUGAAUAAAAUAGGUUGAGCUGCUCUUAAAAUCGUUGAAAUUAAACA